rnacentral:rRNA from 1 species
GAUGAACGCUGGCGGCAUGCCUAAUACAUGCAAGUCGAACGAGAGGAAGGAAAGCUUGCUUUCCUGAAUCUAGUGGCGAACGGGUGAGUAACACGUAGGUAACCUGCCCAUGUGCCCGGGAUAACUUCUGGAAACGGAUGCUAAAACCGGAUAGGUAACAGACAAGCAUUUGACUGCUAUUAAAGUGGCCUUGGCCAUGAACAUGGAUGGACCUGCGGUGCAUUAGCUAGUUGGUGAGGUAACGGCCCACCAAGGCGACGAUGCAUAGCCGGCCUGAGAGGGCGGACGGCCACAUUGGGACUGAGACACGGCCCAAACUCCUACGGGAGGCAGCAGUAGGGAAUUUUCGUCAAUGGGGGGAACCCUGAACGAGCAAUGCCGCGUGAGUGAGGAAGGUCUUCGGAUCGUAAAGCUCUGUUGUAAGAGAAAAACGGCACUCAUAGGGAAUGAUGAGUGAGUGAUGGCAUCUUACCAGAAAGUCACGGCUAACUACGUGCCAGCAGCCGCCGUAAAAC